rnacentral:tRNA from 1 species
GCCCCUUUGGUGGAAUUUGGUAGACACUCUGGAUUUAGGCUCAGAAGGCUGUAGGUUCGACUCCUACUAAGGGUACA